AGCAGUCGCGCGGGAAUACCGAGGGUGCGAGCGUUAAUCGGAUUUACUGGGCGUAAAGCGUGCGUAGGCGGCUUCUUAAGUCGGAUGUGAAAUCCCUGAGCUUAACUUAGGAAUUGCAUUCGAUACUGGGAAGCUAGAGUAUGGGAGAGGAUGGUAGAAUUCCAGGUGUAGCGGUGAAAUGCGUAGAGAUCUGGAGGAAUACCGAUGGCGAAGGCAGCCAUCUGGCCUAAUACUGACGCUGAGGUACGAAAGCAUGGGGAGCAAACAGGAUUAGAUACCCGGGUAGUCCCUGUCUCUUAUACA
rnacentral:rRNA from 1 species